CUUUGUGGUUAAUGAAGAGAUGUGUUAAUUCGUUUAGUAUCCAACUUGCUGUCCUGUUUAGCCACCUUUUACAUAUUUUGUAUGUACCUACUCUUUUUAAACAUUCUAUUAUCUUACCAUUGUAUAAGGGCAAGGGACCGCGUAAUGUGCCCAAGAAUUACAGACCGAUUGUUAUCCUUAAUUCCUACUGUAAAUUAUUUGAGAGGUACCUAUAUCAUAGGAUAAAAGAUAGAAUAGAUGCUAAAUUAAUAGAUGAACAGCAUGCCUAUCGUAGCAACAAAUCGUGUCACUCUGCGAUUAGUGCUUUCACCACUUUCACCUACUCUGAACUUGACAAGAAGAACGGUAUUGUGGGAGCAGUUUUCAUUGAUCUUAAGGAUGCUUUCUCUAGUAUUUCACAUGACAAACUGGUUCGAAAAUUGUUAUCCAAUUUUAAAUUAAGCAAACGACUACACUCUUAGAAAAUGCAAUAUCUUUUCAUGAAGUAAAAUGGAACGUUAUGCGCUUUAAAGUAAACCUCACUUGAUUCGAAGUAAAAUGGUCAACUUCAUUCAAAGUAAUCACAAAAGUCACCAAAUGUGGAGUAAAACCACUAUUUUCUAAUCCACAAAGUAAGCUAUUAUACCAUUUAGAGUAAGCAAACCCCAUUUAGAAUAUUCUUGGUCAAACCAGACGCUGACUUUUCCCUCGCUCUCAUUACAACUCGCAGCUCAGCCAGUCAGUGCUGAUAGUUAAGUUGAUAAUUAAUUAAUUAGUUAGUUAACUCAUAAGCAAAUAAUGGAGGAAACGAGGGGGUUAUUGCAACAAUUUGGACGGGGACGCUGAAGGAUGACGAUAUUACGGACGAGACUCUGUUAAUAAUUUCAGGAGAAAAUUGUCAGGUUUUCUAGGUCAUUUUAGGUCGCCUUUGGAAUGCAUUGUACAAUUUGUGAGAACUUAGCUGGUAUAUCUUUGUUUUAAGUGCAAAACUAAUAUUAAAACUUUAGUAUAACAUUAAAAAAAUUAUCUUAAGUUAACAGGGUCCAGCGUUUACAAACAUCCUCACUAGUGGUUCAUAAUAAGGGUAAUUUGUAAUGCAAUGUUGAAUGUGAAAUAAAAUAUAUUAUUAAAGUACUAAAUACUG